rnacentral:rRNA from 1 species
UACGAAGGGGGCUAGCGUUGUUCGGAUUUACUGGGCGUAAAGCGCACGUAGGCGGCUUUGUAAGUUAGAGGUGAAAGCCCGGGGCUCAACUCCGGAACUGCCUUUAAGACUGCAUCGCUUGAAUCAUGGAGAGGUCAGUGGAAUUCCGAGUGUAGAGGUGAAAUUCGUAGAUAUUCGGAAGAACACCAGUGGCGAAGGCGACUGACUGGACAUGUAUUGACGCUGAGGUG